AUAGCGAACGGGUCAGUGUCAGUUUUAGUGCAGGAGGUUUUUGUUCAGCUGUUGAUAGGGUUUCUAUCACUGUGGUACACGUUCGGUGGAGGCACAACACUCUCGGUUGGAACCGCCACUGUUCCCGCUCUCUCGGUGCUGCCUCCCUCCAGAGACGAGCUGCAGCAGGGGAAGGCUACAGUGCUGUGUGUCCUCAGUAAGGGAUUCCCCUCUGACUGGAAGCUGAGCUGGAAGGUGGACGAUCGCGGCAGGAGCUCCGGUGUCAGUCUGAGUCCCGGUCAGCUGCAGAAGGACGGACUGUACAGCUGGAGCAGCAGCCUGAGCCUCAGUGAGAGAGAGUGGAGCGGAGCAACAAGCGUCAGCUGUGAGGCCACGCACCCGGACCAGAGUGUGGUGACAGGAAGACUCCAAACACAGCAGUGUGAACAUCAGUGACACACACACACACACACACACGCUGUCCUAAAUCAAACAAUGCUUAGCAACUAACUAUUCAUGCUCUUAGAAUAUUGUUCAAAUAUUCUUAUCACUUUUAAUUUUACAACUGCAACUGUUUUGUUUAUUAUUAUUUCUGCCAAAUAAAAGCGUUUCGACUCAAA